rnacentral:tRNA from 1 species
GGAGAGGUGGCAGAGUGGCCGAUUGUGCUCGCUUGGAAAGCGAGUGUACUGAAAGGUACCGAGGGUUCGAAUCCCUCCCUCUCCGCCA